UUGCUUUUUUUCUCCUCCAGAAAUUGACAACGCGCUUCUUUGCUAACCUUUUUUGUUUCCAUUUUCUGUUUUUGGUAGCAACAAUUUUCAGAAAAGGCAAUCCAAGCAUGUUUGGUGCUCCAAGUUCAUUCUUAGAACAAAAACCAACUUUCCUAAUUUCUGACAUUUGAAAUAGAUAAAUGGUACUUUUGUUUGUUCUGUAUAAAAUUUUGGAAGUGUUAAGGACGUGUGAAUAGUAACUAGUCUUAUUCCAAGCCAGAGCUAGACUUGUGUGUACAAUCUUUGGUUCCUAUUUCCAUAAUCAGUUUUAUUACACAAAGUUCAGAAGAUUGUUUGGUUGCUUCUCUUUGUAGUAUUAUCAUUUGACCCCUAAUCGAAUCAUUUCUAGACAAAAUUCUGUUUUUUUGCUUUGGGAAGAUAAUAUUUUUCUAAUGCAUAUCUAUAUUUAUCAGAAAGUUGUUUGGUUGCAUCGCUAUGUAAGAUGCAUAUGACCCCUAAUUAGAUCAUUUUUCCAUCAUGCAUGUCUUCUGUUAUCUUAUUUUUGAUGCUAACCCUCUUAUUUCUUCCUUGUAGAAACACCCAGCUUCCCCUAUUAAUAACUUAGCCAAGUGGAAUCUUGAUAAUAGAGUCCUUGCUAAGUUAAGAGGAACUGGGUUUGAUACCCUUCGAAAUCUGGGUGCUGAUGUUAGGUUAAAUUUAGAUUUAAUUUCUGCUUUAGUAUCUAAGUAUGAUAAUAAAAGGAGAUGUUUUACUUUCCGGUUGGAUGGAGAGUCAACUGUUUUAUUUGGGUUGGAGGAUGUAUUGUACGUAAUGGGCUUUCCUAUUGACGGUAAGCCCGUUACCGGGAAAGAUGAGAGUCCGGGCCCCAUUUGUCUCAAGUACCUUGGUUUAAGCAACUGUAUACAAACUUCAAAAAAGGGCAUUGUAAUGGAGACAUCUAAUGUCUCUUUUAGGUGGCUCAAGGAUACUUUCAUGGUAGUUCCAGGCGAGUUGGAGAGAAUAGCGAGGCAUUUGCUUGUUAAGUCCGGGUGUAUGUGUUGUAUGUUAUUGGGUGUGUCAUAGCUCUGGAUCCAUCCUGAUCUCAUGCUUCAGUCAUGUAUCUUCCUCUCUUGGGAGAUAUAGGAGAAAUAAAGAGUUAUGCUUGGGGGCUGCAUUAUUAGCACAGCUUCAUCGUUCAAUGGAAAGGGUGUCGAAGCACGACCAACCGAUAAAGGAGAUCUCUGGUUUUGCUUAUUCUUUAAUGCUGAGCUUCAUUUCAUCUUCUAUUGUCUUGUUUCUAUUAUUCUUAUGUAUGACACUGUUAUGUUCCUUUUUUUGUUCAGAUUUUUGCACUCGAGUGUAUCCCUUCUCCAGCAUACAGGUUUGGUUUCUCUAGUGCAUUGGAUACACGCAUCCUAGAUUUUCCUUUGUUUGUGAGUUGGGCAAAUGCCCUUCGUGAGGCAACAAGGAACAAUUUUAAAACCACAAGAAGCUUGAGUUUGUAGAAUUUCUUGAGGGGCUUCAGGAAGAUUAUGUAUGUUUUUAAUUUCUGAUAUUUCCUCUCUUCGUUGCCUACUGCUUGUGUGGUAACCUUUAUGUUGUCAGUUGUAGUUCUGUUUGCAUGAAUUUUUUGAGAACUCAACCUAAGAAUGUUCGGGGCUCUGUCAUAGAUAUCCAUGGGCUCUGUUUGGGUUCUGUUUUCAGAUUCCGUUUUGCAAAACACAAUUUAGAAAUUUGUUUGCUAGCUGUUCUUUGUAAGAUUGUCAUAUCACCCCCGUUAGAGUUGCUGUUUUGUAUAGAAAGAUGAUCACAUCUUUUGUAUUUUACGUGCACAUUUCAUGGCAGCCGUAUGCGAGGUUGCGUAAUGAUUUUAUCACGGUCUCUUUAGGGGAACAAGACACCUUAGGCAUGUCCCAGGCAAUCCUCUUGUGUUUUGAGAAAGCUGUUUACCGUAGGCCUGAUGAAAGCCCGAGGCAGUUUGGCUUGGAGAAAGGUAAUGUUUGUGUACCUUGAGCGAUCCUCUUCGCGAUAUUCGAGUGAUCAGUCGGAGUGGGCGCAAGGGCAGAGAUUGGUCUACUUGGUCUUUCUAUGGAGAUUACAAUAAAGCAUGGGGAAAGAGACACAAUUUAUUAAUCAACUAUCAAGAAGAGUCUGUCUCAGCCUCUUCAACUCAUAUGCCCAAUUCAUCUGCCCUCGCUUCCGGAAACUCAGCCCAGACGCCCUCUGAGGAUACAUUGGCUUCUCAGUUCUCGGCAUGUACGCUCUGGAGAUUAUGCUACAAGACAAAAGGAAACAUGGAGAAUCAAAGCCUCAACAGAAUGCCAGCAAUCUGGGCUGGAAAAACUUGUUAACUUAUAGUGGUAAAUGAUGAGAGUUAUGUUAAUUUUGUGGGCUAAGAGACUAAUUGGGUCAAUUGAUUUCAGUGCUCCAUUUCAUGUUACUUCACGGGCCAAUUUCUUCACUUCCUACGGUGAAGGAGAUUAUGGGUUUGUUUGAAUGAGAUUAUUGACAUGGGAAAUGUCUGUUUGGAGACAAGUGUUGGAUGCAAAUUGAUGCUUAAAGAUGUAGGCAUGU